AGCCCCACAGCCACCCCACAGCACCCCAUAGCUGCCCCAUACAGCCCCAUAGCCACCCCACAACCACGCUAUAACACCCCAUAGCACCCCAUAGCACCCCACAGCACCCCACAGCACCCCACACACCGGGUCCAUGGUGAAGCAGGCUCGGUCCCAGUCCAUGGAGGCUCCCAGGCGGCGCAGCUGCUGGUAGAUGCGGUCGCCCUUCCUGUGGGGAGAUGUGGGGCAGCUGGGGGAGCUGCUGUGGGGCACCUAUGGGGCGCUAUAGGGUGUCUAUGGGGGCACUGGGGGGCGUUAUGGGGUUUCUAUAGGGUGCUACAGGGUGUUUAAAUAGCAUAGCGGGGCACGAUGGGGUGCCUAUAGGGUGCUACAGGUGUCUAUGGGGCACUGUGGGGUGUCUAUGGGGUGUCUAUGGGGCACUAUGGGGUGUCUAUGGGGCACUAGAGGUGUCUAUGGGGUGUCUAUGGGGCACUAUGGGGUGUCUAUAGGGCACUAUGGGGCACUAUAGGGUCUCUAUGGGGCACUACAGGUGUCUAUGGGGCACUAUGGGGCACUAUAGGGUCUCUAUGGGGCACUACAGGUGUCUAUAGGGCACUAUGGGGUGUCCAUGGGGCACUAGAGGUGUCUAUAGGGUGCCUAUGGGGCACUAUGGGGCACUAUAGGGUGUCUAUGGGGCACUAGAGGUGUCUAUACGGUGCCUAUGGGGUGUCUAUGGGGCACUGUGGGGCACUAUAGGGUGUCUAUAGGGCACUAUAGGAGUCUAUGGGGCACUAUGGGGUGCCUAUGGGGCACUGUGGGCACUAUAGGGUGUCUACAGGGCACUAUAGGUGUCUAUGGGGCACUAUGGGGCACACUAUAGGGUGUCUAUGGGGCACUAUAGGGCACUAUAGGGCGUCUAUCGGGCUCUGUGGGGUGUCUAUGGGGCACUAGAGGUGUCUAUGGGGUGUCUUUGGGGCACCAUAAGUGUCUAUGGGGCACUGUGGGGCUCUAUGGGGUCCCUAUGGGCAGCUAUGGGGUCCCUAUGGGCAGCUAUGGUCUCUAUGGGGUCCCAAUGUGUCCCUAUGGGAUCUAUGGGUCUCUAUAGGGUCUCUAUGGAUCCCUAUGGGCACAAUGGUUCCCUAUGGGUCUUUAUGGGGUCUCUAUGGAUCCCUAUGGGUCUCUAUGGGUUCCUAUGGGUCUCUAUGGGAUCUAUGGGCACAAUGGUUCCCUAUGGGUCCCUAUGGGGUAUUAUGGGGUGUUAUGGGUUCACUCACUCCUCCUUCCACCUCCAGACCUCCUGCAGGAAGUGCUCUGUGGGGUCCCUAUGGGUCCCUAUGGGGUAUUAUGGGGUAUUAUGGGGUAUUAUGGGUACACUCACUCCUCC
rnacentral:lncRNA from 1 species